GUAUGCCAACACCGUGCUGUCUGG
rnacentral:miRNA from 1 species